GGUUGAAAGAUGGCUUCUUGCUAUCACUUACAGAUGGGCCCGCGGCGCAUUAGCUAGUUGGUGAGGUAACGGCUCACCAAGGCAACGAUGCGUAGCCGACCUGAGAGGGUGAUCGGCCACACUGGGACUGAGACACGGCCCAGACUCCUACGGGAGGCAGCAGUAGGGAAUCUUCCGCAAUGGACGAAAGUCUGACGGAGCAACGCCGCGUGAACGAUGAAGGUCUUCGGAUCGUAAAGUUCUGUUGUCAGGGAAGAACACGUACCGUUCGAACAGGACGGUACCUUGACGGUACCUGACGAGGAAGCCCCGGCUAACUACGUGCCAGCAGCCGCGGUAAUACGUAGGGGGCAAGCGUUGUCCGGAAUUAUUGGGCGUAAAGCGCGCGCAGGCGGUUCCUUAAGUCUGAUGUGAAAGCCCACGGCUCAACCGUGGAGGGUCAUUGGAAACUGGGGAACUUGAGUACAGAAGAGGAGAGUGGAAUUCCACGUGUAGCGGUGAAAUGCGUAGAUAUGU
rnacentral:rRNA from 1 species